CCAUUUAAUAUCCUCAUUCUGCCUAGCCCCUCAGUACAAAAUUCUCUCUCAUUUUUUCUUCCUCCUAUCCAUUUUUUUCUUUUCUUCUCUCUCUCUCAUAUCAUUUCCUGUCUCACACGUCUCUGCUCCCUGGUUGGCCAGUGGCUGGAAGUUCUGACUCAGGCUCAGGCUGUGUGUGUCUGCAGCUGUCUCAGCCAGAUCCCCAGCCAGAUGAGCAGCUACCCAAUGGUUCCCCAUUUGCUCUUUAUUGUUGGUCUGUCCUCCUUGGGAAGGGCCGUCCGUCAGCCCCCAGACAUGGUGGUCAGUCAGGGACAGCCACUGAUGCUGAACUGCUCCCAAAAAUCAACCACUUACACCAACAUGUACUGGUACAAACAGGCUGUGGGGAAGGAUGCAAGGCUGCAGCUGGUGUUGUUUUCUGUAGAAGGCUCCGGGAGUGCAAAACCAGAGAACCCAUUUGAAGGUCACUUCCAGAGCAGUGAGACAAAAAACUAUGUCCUGUCUCUGUCUGCAGAGAGUGCCAAGGUGCAAGAUUCAGGCACCUAUUACUGUGCUAAGCAAGAUCACACAGUGCCUCAACUGCCGAAAGUCCCAGAUUUCCUUCUCAGGCCCUGGCUGUGCUGCAGGUAUGCUGCGGGUUGA